UACGGAGGAUGCAAGCGUUAUCCGGAAUGAUUGGGCGUAAAGGGUCCGCAGGUGGCAUUGUAAGUCUGCUGUUAAAGAGUCUAGCUCAACUAGAUAAGAGCAGUGGAAACUACAAAGCUAGAGUUUGGUCGGGGCAGAAGGAAUUCCUGGUGUAGCGGUGAAAUGCGUAGAUAUCAGGAAGAACACCAGCGGCGAAGGCGUUCUGCUAGGCCGAGACUGACACUGAGGGACGAAAGCUAGGGGAGCGAAUGGG
rnacentral:misc_RNA from 1 species